rnacentral:rRNA from 1 species
UACGUAGGUGGCAAGCGUUGUCCGGAUUUACUGGGCGUAAAGCGCGCGCAGGCGGGCUGCCGCGUCCGGGGUGAAAUCCCACGGCUCAACCGUGGAACGGCCCCGGGUACGGGCGGCCUCGAGGGGGGUAGGGGCGUGCGGAACUGUGGGUGGAGCGGUGAAAUGCGUAGAUAUCUGGAGGAACACCGGUGGCGAAGGCGGCAUCCUGGACCAACACUGACGCUGAGGAGCGAAAGCCAGGGGAGCAAACGGG